rnacentral:rRNA from 1 species
AUGGCACCUGUGCUUAAGAAGUUCGAGCUGUGGACCUGGAUGAGCUCGGAUUUCAGCGUGUCGUUCAACGCGCCGAUGGUGGAGAAUCUACGGUGGGACAUCUAUUGCAACUUUCAAAAUGUGGGGAUUGAUGUCUGGCGCCUGCGCAGAGUAGGCUUAUGGAAGAAGGAGAGCGUCAAUACCCUAUGGUUGUUCAUACAUGCUCCGGUUUAUGCACUAGAUGCAGAGAGGAACUCCAGUCAAGAGAUAGCAUCACUUCCCAACUUUUCUGUUCUGCAGCUACGUCUGGUAACACGGGGACAUAUUUUUGGGCCCCUUGUGUUGAAUCUACUUGGGAUCUGCAACGUAAUACAAAAUCUUAAGGUGACCAUAGACAAAGACACGUGCAGACAAGUAUGCCCAUCAAAUUGUCCUUGUGAGCAACCCCAAAACUGGAGAAGGCAAACUAUCUCGUUGCCAGCUCUUGAAGAAGUAGAAAUAAAAGGUUUCGAAGGAAAUGGCGACGAAAUUGAUUUCCUGAAACUUCUGUUCAGAUGCACGCCUCUGAUGAAAACAAUGACCGUGACACUGGCCCCUGAGGUUUUACCAACGAGCAGAGGAUGCGAGAAAACCUACAGAAUUUUUAGGGAAAACCCAUCUGUGAAAUGCCGUGUUUAUCGCAGCGGUGGGGAGGAGGUUCUGUACCCAUGA